rnacentral:rRNA from 1 species
AGUGAACGCUGGCGGUAGGCCUAACACAUGCAAGUCGAACGGCAGCACAGUAAGAGUUUGCUCUUACGGGUGGCGAGUGGCGGACGGGUGAGGAAUACAUCGGAAUCUACUUUUUCGUGGGGGAUAACGUAGGGAAACUUACGCUAAUACCGCAUACGACCUACGGGUGAAAGCAGGGGAUCUUCGGACCUUGCGCGAUUGAAUGAGCCGAUGUCGGAUUAGCUAGUUGGCGGGGUAAAGGCCCACCAAGGCGACGAUCCGUAGCUGGUCUGAGUGGAUGAUCAGCCACACUGGAACUGGGACACGGUCCAGACUCCUACGGGAGGCAGCAGUGUGGAAUAUUGGACAAUGGGCGCAAGCCUGAUCCAGCCAUACCACGUGGGUGAAGAAAACCUUCGGGUUGUAAAGCCCUUUUGUUGGGAAAGAAAAGCAGCAGGUUAAUACCCCGCUGUUCUGACGGUACCCAAAAAAUAAGCACCGGCUAACUUCGUG